CGGCCGCCUCGGGCUCAGCCCUUUCCCAUUCCAGCCACCAGGGCGCGAGGCGAAAUCCCCACAGGUGGGGAGAGCCAGGCGCUGAGCCCGGGGCCGGGAAUCAAACCGGCUCUGCCCGGGCACCGGGGCUGCGCUCCCUGUGCCCGCUGCCCGGGACCCGGCUGAGCCCCACCGUGUCACGGGUGUUUGGCUCCCGCGGCCGGGAGUGAAUUCGGGCUGAUCUGAAGUUUGCUCGCUGAGCAGCUCAGCACCUCAGCUUUUCUGUGCAGCACCAGCUGAGCAGAUCGGGCCCUAACGCGCUGCAUACCUGUGUCAGCACAGAGCGCCGUUCCUGCUGUGCUGUGGGACCAGAUGGCAUUGGCCAGUACAUGCAACUUUUUAUACAGUUUUCAGAGUGGCAGUGUUCAAUGAAUUGAUCCAUCAAGACUCUCAGGAACAAUUUCACUGAGGACCUUAUACAGAACCCGGCUGCAUAACCCGUUUCAAGAUGCACCUUAGAAAAUCCUUGGCUCAAGGGCAAAAAAGUUUGGAAACAUUUAAAGUGAAUGAAAAAGAACAGGAAGAUAAAGCUGCACAGUGGCUCAGCAGCUACAUUUCUGUGAGGGUAGAAGGAAAUUGUUUUAAAACAUAGACUGUGCCUAUCAAUAUUAGAAGAAAAUAUGACAUUUUUCAGCAUAAAAUAUGAAGACUGAGAUGAAAGAGGGAAUCAACAGGUUAAAAUGUGUGGCAAGGACAGAUUACAUGGUUAAGGAACACAAAGAUAUAGGAACAAAUUCACAGCACAGGUGAGAGUAAUGUCCUUGAGCUAGACACAUUGUGAGGCUUUAAUCCCCAAGUCACUCUGUCCUCUAGAUCAGAGUGACUCUUAGGAUAGAUUGUAUAACUAUCAUAAUAGUUACAGAAGAAACAACAACAGAAGCAAUAACAACAAUAGUAAUAACAACCUGUUCCUCUUACAAAUCACCAUUUUUUCCACUUCAUGUGCCACUGAUGAUGAAAAGUGACUGCUGAGUGCAUAAAGAAAAUUGCUGUUGAAUUUUGCCACAACUUCAUCCUUCUUCAAGACAGAAAGAUCUUAUGCCAGUAGUCAUCAAGAUCUGCGCUCCAACAACUUUUGAUCAACAGUCUUCAGCAAAUCAGAUUUGUUACUGUCUCAGUAUAUGAAAAAACCAGAUGCAAGGCGACGCAGCUGGAUCAAGUAGCUAUCAUUCCUAUGUAAACUUGAAAAGUAUUGAAUGUGAAUCUGAAUUAUGUAUUUCAAACUGAAACAGCAGAAACUAUGAAUUUCUAAUACCUAGACAACUGUAAUUUCUGGUUGGAAUUACUGAAUAUAGUUUUUUUACCAUAUCUUUCAAUAAAAUAACAUUUUU